rnacentral:misc_RNA from 1 species
UUUCCGUAGGUGAACCUGCGGAAGGAUCAUUAAAAAUAUCGCUCGAUUGAGAGUGAUUUAAUAAUCAUCCUACCCUUUGUGAAUUUGUUGUUUGUAAUAAUUUUUUUUUGAUUUUAAAAAAAAAUUAUUUAUGGUUUUGUCUAUCCCUAAAAUUGGUUUGUUGUGAAAUGAAUCAAAUUUAGGGAAUAGGCUUUCAUAAAUAAGUUUUUUUUUAAAGUCUUAAAGACCUUUUUUUAAAAAUUAAACUUUUGUAUUCAUUUGUCUAAAUUUUUUUUAAAUAAUUUAAAAACAACUUUUGACAAUGGAUCUCUUGGUUCUCGCAACGAUGAAGAACGCAGCAAAAUGCGAUAAGUAAUGUGAAUUGCAGAAUACGUGAAUCAUCAAAUCUUCGAACGCAUAUUGCACUUUUUUUAGUUUUACUAAAAAAAGUAUGUCUGUUUGAGUAUCAGUAAAAUAUUCUCAUAAAAACAUUUUUGUUUUUAUGGUUAUGAGUGUUUUACAACGAUAAACAAGUUGUUUCACUUUAAAUUCAUUUUAAUUUAAGACCAUUUAUGGCUUUAAUAAUAAAAUUGGAUAAAAUUUUCCCGUAAAAAGGAAUAAACUUUUCAGUUUUUAUUAGAGAACCAUCGGUCCGAUUUAAAAGGAAAUUUAUAUUUAAAUAACUUGAUCUCAAAUCAGAUAAGAGUACCCGCUGAACUUAAGCAUAUCAAUAAGCGGAGGAAAAGAAACUAACAAGGAUUCCUUAGUAACGGCGAGUGAAGCGGGAAGAGCUCAAAUUUGAAAUCUUCAAGGUUCUACCUUGACGAAUUGGUAGUUUAAAGAAGUGUUUUCUGUUAGAUGAGUAGCAAAAGUUCCUUGGAAUGGGACAUCAUAGAGGGUGAGAAUCCCGUAUUUGGUUAUUCAUUCUAGCUUUGUGAUACACUUUCAAAGAGUCGGAUUGUUUGGGAAUGCAGUCCAAAAUGGGUGGUAAGUUUCAUCUAAAGCUAAAUAUUGGCGAGAGACCGAUAGCGAACAAGUACCGUGAGGGAAAGAUGAAAAGAACUUUGAAAAGGGAGUUAAACAGUACGUGAAAUUGUCAAAAGGGAAGCGUUUGACACCAGUGUUGUUUUCCCGAAAAUCAAUUACGAGUGGCUUGAUUUUGUGUUGUAUUGACCUUAUCAGCUUUCUUCACUUUUUUCGAGUCUUUCUUAAUGCACUUUUCGGUUAACAAGUCAACAUCAAUUUCUUUUGUUGUAAAAGAGUAUUCGGAAGGUGGCUUUCUUUUCGGAGAAAGUGUUUAUAGCCCUAUACUUCUACAAUCGGAGAGAUUGAGGUCUGCAGCGUAGAUCCUUCGGGGUUAGAUACAUUUGUGCUAAGUUGUAGCUUUUCAUAGACAACUUGUUGACUAUGUUUAGUCAUGCGGCUUACUCGCUUGUGCUAUUU